rnacentral:rRNA from 1 species
GCUUAUGCGUUGUUGGGUAGGGGAGCGUUCUGUAAGCCUGCGAAGGUGGCCUGUGAGGGUUGCUGGAGGUAUCAGAAGUGCGAAUGCUGACAUAAGUAACGAUAAAGCGGGUGAAAAGCCCGCUCGCCGGAAGACCAAGGGUUCCUGUCCAACGUUAAUCGGGGCAGGGUGAGUCGACCCCUAAGGCGAGGCCGAAAGGCGUAGUCGAUGGGAAACGGGUUAAUAUUCCCGUACUUGGUGUUACUGCGAAGGGGGGACGGAGAAGGCUAUGUUGGCCGGGCGACGGUUGUCCCGGUUUAAGCGUGUAGGUGUGUGUUCCAGGUAAAUCCGGUUCACUUUAACACUGAGGCGUGACGACGAGGCACUACGGUGCUGAAGCAACAAAUGCCCUGCUUCCAGGAAAAGCCUCUAAGCAUCAGGUAACAUCAAAUCGUACCCCAAACCGACACAGGUGGUCAGGUAGAGAAUACCAAGGCGCUUGAGAGAACUCGGGUGAAGGAACUAGGCAAAAUGGUGCCGUAACUUCGGGAGAAGGCACGCUGACACGUAGGUGAAGUGAUUUACUCACGGAGCUGAAGUCAGUCGAAGAUACCAGCUGGCUGCAACUGUUUAUUAAAAACACAGCACUGUGCAAACACGAAAGUGGACGUAUACGGUGUGACGCCUGCCCGGUGCCGGAAGGUUAAUUGAUGGGGUCAGCGCAAGCGAAGCUCCUGAUCGAAGCCCCGGUAAACGGCGGCCGUAACUAUAACGGUCCUAAGGUAGCGAAAUUCCUUGUCGGGUAAGUUCCGACCUGCACGAAUGGCGUAAUGAUGGCCAGGCUGUCUCCACCCGAGACUCAGUGAAAUUGAACUCGCUGUGAAGAUGCAGUGUACCCGCGGCAAGACGGAAAGACCCCGUGAACCUUUACUAUAGCUUGACACUGAACAUUGAGCCUUGAUGUGUAGGAUAGGUGGGAGGCUUUGAAGUGUGGACGCCAGUCUGCAUGGAGCCGACCUUGAAAUACCACCCUUUAAUGUUUGAUGUUCUAACGUGGACCCGUGAUCCGGGUUGCGGACAGUGUCUGGUGGGUAGUUUGACUGGGGCGGUCUCCUCCUAAAGAGUAACGGAGGAGCACGAAGGUUGGCUAAUCCUGGUCGGACAUCAGGAGGUUAGUGCAAUGGCAUAAGCCAGCUUGACUGCGAGCGUGACGGCGCGAGCAGGUGCGAAAGCAGGUCAUAGUGAUCCGGUGGUUCUGAAUGGAAGGGCCAUCGCUCAACGGAUAAAAGGUACUCCGGGGAUAACAGGCUGAUACCGCCCAAGAGUUCAUAUCGACGGCGGUGUUUGGCACCUCGAUGUCGGCUCAUCACAUCCUGGGGCUGAAGUAGGUCCCAAGGGUAUGGCUGUUCGCCAUUUAAAGUGGUACGCGAGCUGGGUUUAGAACGUCGUGAGACAGUUCGGUCCCUAUCUGCCGUGGGCGCUGGAGAACUGAGGGGGGCUGCUCCUAGUACGAGAGGACCGGAGUGGACGCAUCACUGGUGUUCGGGUUGUCAUGCCAAUGGCACUGCCCGGUAGCUAAAUGCGGAAGAGAUAAGUGCUGAAAGCAUCUAAGCACGAAACUUGCCCCGAGAUGAGUUCUCCCUGAGACUUAGAGUCUCCUGAAGGAACG